UGUCAUAGUGAUAGAAAAAGAAAUAUUUCUGGACUUAAAUAUAAAUGCAAUUAUAAUUUUUAUCCUUAGUUUCUUUUUUUUUGUUCUUUUUGGUACCAGGGAUAGAACUCGGGACCUUGCACUUGCAAGGCAGGUGCCAGAACCACUGAGCUAAAUCCCUGGGGCUUUAUUCUUAGUUUCAAUUCUGAAAAAGGGAAAAAUGUAUGUAAGCUAUGAUGAUGUAUUAUCUUACUCAUGUUUUAAAUCACACCUACAUGUUCAAUCUAAAUCAGCCUAAUCAAAAUCGUUUGUUACUAUUCACUGUGCAGAUCAAGAGUUGUUAGUGCUGCACUAAUCAAUAAAUUUUAUGCAAAGAUUUUGAAACUGGAAGUAUGCUAAGCCUCAUCCACCUUUAGAGAAAACUUCUGGAGGCUCUAUGGUGUCACAGCAUUCCACAGAAAUGUCACAGCUGAAUUAAUUAGUCAGUUACAUGGUUUGACUUCAGCAUUCAAAAUAAAGGACUGGCACCCUCAAAGUAUUAUCUCAUUGAAUCUUCACAAAAACUACAUGAGGUCAGUGAUAACAGCUGAGGAAGUAGAUUCAGAAAACUGACAUAAUCCAAAGGUCCACCACUAGCAUUGUUAAAGCCAAAAUUUAAUCCCUAUAUUGAUACUAACAUUAAUAAUCUUUAAUCUAUUAUUACACAUUUUUCUCAAAUAUGUUUAAAGUAAAUAAUAGUAAUUAUUAGAAUUGAUAAUAUUUUAUUGUCAUCAAACUGUAUAUUUUUAGUAGCUAACAUUUUUUUCUACAUAUCGUAAUGAGUACCAGCUCACCAAGCUGCUGCAUUACUCCAGAGUACAGUAUCAUGCCCAAGAGACAAGCUUAUUAGGUAAUUCAUGGUUGAUUGACUCCUAAGAUAGAUUCAAUGGAGAGUAUAUCUUAACCUAUGACUUAAAGGGCUCAUUGUAAUACUUAAAUACACUUACGUUUUACUACAACCAUGGCAUUUUGGUUUUUUCAGACCUCAGUGCACUAAUUUUUAAAUAUCAUAAAAAUUAUUUGUAGCGUUUUACAUCAACAGUUUUAUUAUGUUCUUAGAUGUCCUUUAUGCCCGCUAGGCAGAGGAAGUACCUAUUAAAAUAUUUUUAAAGAACUAGUGUAUGAUUCAAAGUUUUAAGUUCAUCAUAUCCAAAAAGAAAAGAGACUGCAACAUGGGUUUAAGUCAAGCAUUUGAGAUACACAAAACCUAUCGUUGCUCUUUUCAGUGUCACCAAAUUUAGACUUGAUUCAAAUGACUUCACUUUCCAGUUAAUUUUCAGUUCAGCAUUUUGUCAAAUGUUAUUUAUAACUAUCGUCCCCAAAUACACAGAAUCAGUGAACACCACAUCAAAGUUGAAAGAAAAACAAAGAAACUUUCUCAGAGAGCAAAGAAGGAAAACAACUAGGGCUAUUUAGUCAGUCCUCCAGAAUCAAGGAGAAAACAGAUACAAUUUCAGAUGUCAAUGAAAAGGUGAAAUGAGUUUCUUUCCUGUCACUGCCUUGUACGUGUUACAAUCCAAUGAUUACAAUGACAUCAGGCAGAAUACAUAGGAUGCCAUCCUAUGUCAACUCUUUACAAGUUCAGGUAACUCAUGUGUCCAUUGAGUGAUUUUUAGAUCACCCAGUUAAGAUGUGUCUGCCUGCAAAUUCAUUUGUGGGUAUUUUGUUUUUUCAUUCACAUCACUUAAAUCUAUCCUUAAUAUGGAAGUAAUCUGUCCAUGAAUUGUCUUCAGCAAGACAGAACAACAAAAAAGGUAAUUAGCCUUUUAAACUCAUCUAAACAAAGGUAUUAUUCAGUGUACACAUUUGUAUUUCACCAUUCUGAAAAACCAAAGCAUCUCUCUGUUCCCAUAAAAUAACCCAUACUUCAGUUAAAUAUUUGUCUGAGCUAAUGAAUACAGCCUUUCAUAAAAUGACAGAAAAACAUAUUCCUAGCAAAAUCAUUGUAAGAUAGCUUUCUAUGCUAUGAGAUAUAAUCAAGUUUGUGCUACUAAAACUUUUCCUAAAAUAACUGCUUUAAGACAUGGCUUUAAAAUACUUGGAGCAAGUCUAGUGUUACCCAUGCCUUUAAAAAUGAUUAAAUAAUAAGUCAUGUUACCCAUACCUUAAAUAAAAUAAAAAUAUUUGUAAAUAGAGAUGGAGAGGAAAGGCGAAAAUGUACUUGAAAAAUUCAGCAUAAAGAACAGAAGUUAUAUAUCUUCAACCAUGACAACAUAUUUUUCUUAAAGGAAAAUAUACUGGAGGGGGAUUUAUUGUAAGAUGAAAUAUUUGACACAAUGAAAUAUUGAAUUUGCAAGAGGCUUUCCGUCUUCCCUCCAUAUUCACAAUCUAUGCUUCAUCAUCCUUUCUGUGCCUUGAGAAAAUGAAUUCAUAAAUUGCAUAAGCCCCUUUGACUUCUUGGAUUGGGGCCACUGAAAGGAUUAGUGGGAAAUCUACAUGUUGGAGGGAGUGGAUCACAGUAUUUAUUUCCAGGCUAAACUUUACUAGGCUGCAAGUUGGCAAUGGCUUUGCUACCUACCCCCAAACCAGGUCACCUGUGUAUCAUCCCUCUCCUAUGACUACUACAUCCUAUGACUACUACCACAUCUGAAUCCACAGUGACAUUUCUGUCUGGUUUCUAAUGCCCAUUUCCCUUCCAAUCUUGACUGGUAGGAGCUUCCUGCAGUUACUAGUCCUGAGGGUAGCAUCUCUUGCUGGUUUCCUUAGCUCAGUUAAUAUAACUUUGUAAAGUGUUCUUUUAUUUAACUAUCUAUCUUUAAUCAUCUUAUUUGAGUGUGCUAUCUUCCUUGCUGACAAAUAUAUGGAGCAAAGGAAUCAAUUCCCAGUAUUAACUUUGUAAUCUCGUCCUUGAAUAUUAAAGAAAUUAAAAUGUCUUUAGAGGAAUUUAAAUGUUUUUUCAGAUUCCUAAAUAAUAGACAACUACAAUAGCUUAGGUAUAACUAGUAAAUCAAUGGUAAUUUAUUGUUUAGUUUAAAGUGUAAGGUUUAACGUUUUCCUUAUAGGAAGAGAAAAGUGUUCCCACAUAUUACAACAAGAGAACCAAACUUAGGCAAUUUUAUAGAAUUUCAAGCAGGAAAUUAUGAGACUUUUUUGAUGUGUUUUUUGAUCAGGUAUAAUUCCCUAUGCUUAAAUAAUUCAAAUAAACUGACCACAUUUUUAAGCUUUAAACAUGGUAUUUACCUUACACAUCAUCUUUUAAUCAAAGGCAAUAUUUUACACUGACACUGUUACAUUUAUGUCUUUCAUCAAUAGGUUGGUGUUCACAUAGACAUCAAAGGAUGCUUUGGUUAUAAGACUCACAGCAGCAAAUCCUUAGACAUAAUCAAUAUAGGCAAGCUGUAAGGAUCACAGAAAUUUUCAUCUUCAGUUCAUUUAAAAAUAUGUUCAACAUUUCACACCCAUCUCAACUGGUCAAUAUUCUCACACCAAAGCACAAUUGCUACGUCAAUCACAUCUAAAAGCAAUGAACUGAGUGCAUUAGAUGAUGGCUGUGAAUUCUUGGUUUCCUCAUAAUAGUUGGGCUGCUCCAUUAAAGUACUGAUAAAAAAAUUGUCUUCAUUUCUAGCUUAGAGUCUAAAACUUUAAAAGUCAAAAGCCCUCAGACAUGAGAACAGUAGGCUACAUGUUUUAAUGUCUUCUUUCAUGAAACUUAUUAUGCAGUAUGUACACCUAUAUGAACAUGUUGUACAAUACUUGCUAAAUUCUAUCAUAGAUUUUUUAUUUGACAAAAAAAUCAAAGGUAACUAUUGUCUCUUAAAUUUAAUACAGAAAUGGAAAAUUCAACUCAUAAUGUUUGAUCCCUCAGGCUACUUAUAAAAUACUUAAAUAGUUCAUAUUUGAGUAGAUUUGAAUGAUAACCAUUUAGAAUUCACAAAAUGGUACCAAUAUACCUAUUUUCAAGAUGAUGAAAUGCAAAUUCAGAAAAAUAAUGUGAUUUUCUUAAAGUUCAAUACUGAGUAAACUAUAGAACUUGGCUUUGACCAGCCUCUGAACUUCCAUUAAAUGCUUUAUCCAUAAUACCUUGAGAACACAUUUUGACCAGGAAUAGCAGGAGGCCAUUAAAGCACUAGCUAACCAGGUCAGGGUAAAGAGAAAAAGGAAGAGAUUGAGAUCACCAUAAGAAGUAUGGCACAUUCAGAAUUUUUGCUCAGACCAGAUUUAUCAGAGGAAACAUAGGCCUAAGAGGUGCACUCAGUUAAGUAUCCUUGUCAUUGCCAUUGAUCUGAAAGAUGGAGCCUCAGAAGACACAUAAAAAUAGGAAAUGUAAAAAUAUCUUUCCUGAACAUUCUAUUCUACAUCUCUCUCAUAUUAUCUCUCAAGGUGAAGAAUUAAUAAUUGGGUUAGACCCACCAAGAAAGAAAUUAGGAAGACAAUCCCAUUUAUAAUAGCUUUGAAAGAAUUAAAUACUUAGAAAUUAGCCUAACCAAGGAAGUAAAAGUCAUUUAUAGUGAAAACUAUAUUAUUCUGAAAAAAAGAGAUCGAAGCAGACAUGAGUAAAUUGAAAGACAUCCCCUAUUACUUGAUAGACAGAAUCAAUGCUUUCAAAAUGAUCAUGUACCGAAACUGAUUCAUGGAUUCAAUGCAAUCCCAAACAAAAUAUCAAGAACAUUCUUCACAUAACUAGGAAAAAUCUUAAAAUUCAUAUGGAACCAAAAGAGACCCCAGAAUAGCAGAAGUAAUUCAGAGCAACAAGAGCAAAGCAAGAAGAAUCAUAGUCCUGGAUCUCCACUUACGUUACAAAGCUAUGGUGAUAAAAACAGCAUUGUACUGUCACAAAAACAGACUUGCAGAUCAAUGAACCAGAAGUCAGGAUGUGGAAACAACGCCAGGCACAUUCUGCCAGAUGAUCUUUGACAAAAGAUCCAAAAACAUACUGGAAAAAAAAUAGCCUCUUUAACAAAUGGUGCUUGGGAAACUGAUAUUCCACAUACAUAAGGAUAAAUUAAAACCAUAUCUCUCACCCUAUACUAAAAUAAAAUAAAAAUGGAUCAAAGAUUUAGAUAUUGAGACAAAAACAAUCUGCUGGAAGAUAGAAUAGGUAAAACUUGAAAACAAAGCCAUAGGCAAGGACUUUCUGAACAGAAUCCUAAUUCCACAAGAUAUAACACAAAGAAUCAACAAAUAAUAUGAAAUUAAUUAAAAUUAAAUUAAUUAAAAACCUGCACAGCAAAGGAAAUAAUCAACCAAAUGAAAAGACAAUGUAUAGAAUGGGGAAAAUUUUUUGCCAGCUACUCUUUGGACAGAAGUCUAAUAUGUAAAAUAUAUAAAGAACUCAAAAAAGACCCCCCUCAAAUAAAGGACCUUCCCCCCAAAAAGUUAGGCAAAUAAAAUGAAUAGACACUUCUCAGAAGUACAAAUGGCCGAUAAAUACAUGAAAAAAUGUUCAAAAUCUCUGGUCAUUAAAGAAAUGCAAAUCAAAUCAAUACUGAGAUUCCAUCUUACUCUAUAAAGAGUGGCUACCAUCAGGAACUCAAGAAAACAACCUGCUGGCAAAGUUGUGAAGGAAAAGGAAUGUGUCUACAUUAUUGGUUGGAAUGUAAACUAGUACAACCAGUAUGGAAAUCAGUAUAGGUAUUCCUCAAAAAAACUAAAACUAGAUUUUCCACAAAGCUAUAACUCUUCUAAGUAUCUUCCCAAAAGAGUUAAAGAUAGCAUGUUAUAGUGAUACAUGAAUACCCAAGAUUAUAGCAGCACAACUCACAAGAGCUAAAUCUUGGAAACAACCUAUAUGUCCAACAAUAGAUGACUGGAUAAAGUAAAGGUGGUGUGUGUGUGUGUGUGUGUGUGUGUGUGUGUGUGUGUAUCGGCCAUAAAGGAUAAAUUUGAGUCAUUUGUAGGAAAACAGAUGCACCUUGAGACCAUAAUGCUGAGAGAAAUAAAUCAGACACAGAAGGAUAAAUAGCACAUGGUUUCUCUUAUAUAAGAAACCUAAAGCAAAAUAAAAGAGAGGUGAUAGGGAACAGAGAAGAGGAACAGAGGGAACAGAGAAAGGAUAGGGAACAGAGAACCUUAAGCAGAUGAGAAGGGGAUAUAAGGAUGGAAGGAGAAGAAGGGAAAGGAGGGGAAGGGGAAGGGGGAGUAAAAAGGACUAACACGUGAUGUGUCUGUGUUCUCCAAUUCACAGUUUACUUCUACCGUAUCACUGCAAUUUGUGCAUUAGAAAGUUAUUGGGAAAAUUCUCCAGAAGGACUUGCUUCCAUGGUUAAAUGCAUUUAAAAUGUUACAGAAUUUUAUCCUAAGUAACUGUUGGAGCUCGUGCCUGGUUAUUUUAUCAGUGUGGCAUUCUCUUCAUUCAUAUAUGCGUGUCCACCCCAAAUCAUAAUGAUGUUCCAAAAUUUAACAUACUUGGUUUUUUUGAAGUUUUUGUGGCUUUCAGAAGGAAUUCAUCAUUCUUUUACUAGACCAAUCUGCAAAGUUUUACUGAGCUCCAAAAUUUAGCAAAGGAGAAAAGUAGAAAUAUUUUCAUAGUACUCAGAGUUAAACAAAGUAGAAUAUUAACUAGACUGAAUUACCUUGAAUGUGAUUUUUGAACAUGUGUGGGUGCAUAUUGAUUCAUUCAGCUGAUAUUUGCUGAGCACCUCCCAUGUGCCAAGCACAUGUCGGGGGUUUUAGAACAAAGCCGAGCUAACUCUUCCAGGUGUCAUUGCUGAUGAGCUAAUAAAAUGGAGGAAAUGCUGAGGUACCAAUGUCAACAGAGUUCUAAUCUGAAUACAAUAACAG
ensembl:lncRNA